rnacentral:misc_RNA from 1 species
CCGGUUUCGCCCCACUCACUCCUGCGUAAUUAUCUGCUGGACAUUUCUGUUUUGGAUGGGCCGCUGGAAUCUGGUGCGUUGGUUUCGCCCCAGCAUACCAUUGCUGGGUCGCUGGAACUGAGCGUCCAAAUUUCGUCCCCUCCAGAGCCUGCUUGGGCCCUCAGUUUAGUUGCAGCCCAGAAUAAAAAUUUAACUGGCCAGGGCAGUACGUCCCUAAAAGUUUAUACUAGGAGGACAGCUGAUAACAGGAGGCAAAAGUAUGAUUCUCAGGAUUCCCCACUCAUUCAAGCCCUUCAGCCAAAUCAAGCCUCUUCUCCUCAAGAACAGAAUGAUAUUGGAAAUGCAGUCCAAGCUUUUGUUGACAAAGUAACCAGGAAGGUGGAUGGUCUGCUCCCUCCACCACUCCCCCACAGAAGACGAUCCAAGCAACUUCCAUCUGACUUCAUCCCACGCAGAAGCAGUCGCCUGGCAAAGCGAGAUAAUAAAACAAAUGCUGCACACAGACAGAUUCAAGCUGACCUGAUAAGAAGCCUGGAU